AAAGUAUCAUAAUGCUCGGAAAAAAGAUUGACAAGGGUAUCAAAAGUCAUAGAAAUUAAUAUUUCGCUUCUAGCCUUAGCCGCAAAUGUAAAAACGCCAAACAAAGUUUUCCAUCCAGAUUUUAUUUUGGAAAUUUUAGCUUGAAUCAUUUGCUUAACACAUUGUAAAACAAGUUCUUUGACUUCUACUACGGUAUCGGAAGCCAUAACGUACUCAAAUGGCUUAAGGAAUUCUUUCUGAAAGGAAAAGAGAGACAACUCCUCAAUUUCGAGAAAAUGCAUAGAAAGCUGCCUCAGGGAAUCCAAUGCAAAAACAGCAACAUGCCUAUUCUCAUCACUACCCACCAUGUUGAAGAAUCUACCCAAAACGUUCCAAAUUGAUGACCAUUCCACUCUAAUCCUUUGCAUGUUAUAAUAGGAUAUCUCAACCAGCUUUUGUAGACUAUAUAGCCUUGGCUGCUCCAAAUCACUAGAAGAUGUUAUUUCAUCCCAAGAAACUUCACAUAAUGCUUUAAAGAAUGAUACUAUCGCAGAGCCAGAAAGAGAAGAUGUUUGGGUAAAUAUUCUAUCAAUGCUCAACACUACCUCAGUGGACAUUAGUUCUGAAACUGCCUCUGGGGAUAAAGGUUUAGAUAGUGAGCGAGUUCUAGUCGAACGAGAAGUACUUCCACUAACAUGCCGAAUUGAGUUUGAAGAACCAAUGUUCACAUUCUUUCGACGAACACGUGCAUUUAUAACAUCAGGUACUUCUGUUUCAUCGACACCAACACCAAUCAGUUGCACGCGUUCUAGUUGACUUAUAAUAG